GACAGUUUAAGUGUUUAAGGCUUUUUUUAAGGUUUAAGGAAUUUUCUUCCCUCUUCCCUGUGCUUUAAAUAGCUGCUGUGCCGGUCACUAGUGGCUGUGUGUGACGAAGUCUAGCUUAUGCCAGUGUAGAGUGGAAGAGCAACUUACUCUGCAGCAAAAGACUUGAUGACUUCUGACAAGCUCUUCUUAGGUCAUGUUCUGCAAGCUCUGUGCCUGCACUCUGUCUGGUUUCAUAGCUCAAGUAUAGCAUCGUGUACAGGUACAUCGUUUAUACUGUAACCUUUUCUCAUUUGGAGAUUGUGUUGAGGAUACGUCCUUGCAUGAACAGGGAGGAGCAAACCAUGGGAGGUGUGCUUUGUUUUGAGGACGUGUCUCUUAAGCUUCAGUGCAUCUCACGUGGGUCACGAGCAGUUGAUUAACACUUUGAGUUUUAGGGGGGAAAAAAAGGAUGUUUUAUAGGGUCUGAAGGUGGGGUUUAGAAGAUGGGCGUUCGUUUCUUUUAUUUUCUUUAAGUGAUAUUUAAGCAUAAAUAUACAGGUGAACUUCCCUCAGCAGUCAGAGGCUGAGAUUACUUCCAGAGAAUUAAAAACAUGGAAUGCUGUGUAUUCCUGUAAAAAGGCAUACUUCAGGAUCUUGAACAUUAUGGCAGCACUGAAAAUGUGAAUCUCUAGGGGUCAGGUGAGUAAAAUAAAAAAAAGCUAAUGAACUCCUCUAACUUUCAGCUGCCUUUAUUCAGGUAUAAUCUUGCAGUUCUGAAUGCAUGUUGUAACGUUACUAAUUGGUGUAGUAAUGUCCCUAGUUCGUAUAAUACUGAAAGGGCAUCAUGCAAAUGUUGUGUAUAUCGUGAUUUUAUCCUGAAGUGCUUUACUGGAAUGGAGGAGAGAUGAAAAGAAGAAAGACAACAUGUGGUUAUUCCCAUUUAACAAGCUUAGUCUAAGAACAUGCAGAGUGGGAAUUGUUGUACAUGUGUUUCUUGUGCCAGUAUGCCUCAGAAAUCCACUUAAUUGCUAAAGUAAGCAUAACUAAGAUGGCAUUUCUUGCUUCUAGAAAUGAACGCUAGUGUACUAUUUGCUCAGUUUGCUUUUGUAGUGCCUUAGUGGUUUCUGAUUAGUUACAGCAGCACGUGAAACUGUUUCUGUCCUAAAUGCUCAGUUAUUGGAAGUCAAGUAGGAUAGGAGGCAGCCUUUUACCAGAGCUUCUGUUAAUGAAUGCUUAAUACCUCCUUUGGUAGGUAAACAGAGCGCAGAUCUUCUAUCAAAAUCAACACUACAUUAAUGCAGUCCUGCCGAACUGUGUGGCAAAGCAAGAGAUGAUGUGUUACAAGGCAGUAACCUGUCUGCACUGGUUUUGUGUGAUGUUGCUUGCAAAUCGGAGCUGCCAAGUUCUACUUCAUGUAUAUCUGUAUCUGCUGAAAGCAGGAGGAGUCCUGUGAUUACAGUGCAGCAAGGCCCAUGCAAGACCAUAGGAGAACUGGCUGGAGAGGAAAUAAGGGAGCAGUAAUGCAAAUGGGUUUACUGGGGAAGAGGAGUGGAUUCUGGGGACUGCAACAGAAACAAUUGUGCUGCUGGACUGACUACAGUUGUGCUGGAGAGCUGUUCUGAAUGAGCGUAGACAAUCAAAUGCUUCAUCAAAGCUGAAGUCCAGGUGUGUGUGUGCUGCUCAGCAUGUGUAUGCACACGUCUGUGCAGGCUGUCCCCAGAUGAAACACAGACACCCUUGUAAAGAGAAGUGAGGAUACUUUGAUAGGUACUCAGUUUGGGAAACCCCUUUUUCCUGCUUUCACUGGGGUUUUCUGGCAGGGCUAUGUGUUGAAAAGGAGGCAAUAGAAGCUUAGGUUUUUCAUUUUUCAAGGGGAAUGUUUCUGAAAUACCUUUUUUUUUUCAAAAUCUUCAAAAAUAAUUUGGCAUCGAACUAUAGUGGCUUGAGAUGUGUAUUAUCUUAAAGCCUAACCUCGAUGUAUUUUAAAGAUGUUCAUUAACAAAGCUUUUCUGCUAUGCGUAGUGCACAAAAGUAGUCUCUCAUUACUCCUUGUCUGUGUGCAGUGACACUGAGAAAAGGUUGGAUUUCUUUUGUUCCAGUGGUGAUUUGUGGCCUUGGAUAUUAUAGACAUUGGAUACUGUGAAGGAGUAAAAUGCACACUGUACUGAAAUUCCAGACCCUGAAAUGAAGGUUCUUCUUAAAGCUUAUUAGACUGGUGUUCAAACUGUCAUUUCCUUUCAAAAGCCUCUGUGAAAAAGUAUUGGAAAGGCUACAAAAGUUGAGAAACUUGGAAUUGAAAUCAAGGACAGGUUUUGUAUCCUAGUCUGUUGGGGCCACAAAUUUAGCAACCACGUGAAAAAUACAUCUGUCCUCUCCAAAUAUAUGUACUUACAUGAGCAAAAUUGCUUUAUUUAUUUGACAAGACUGAAAUACAAUACGUAGUAGUCAAAGAUGGGUAGGUUAUAUCAGGCUUUGUGCUGCAUGAGAGCAAGUUCCAUCUCCUUGCUUUAUCACAGCAUCAGAAUAUUAUGAAAGGAAGCUGUUUUUUUUUCCCUUGGUCAGAUAAAACCCAUUCAAUGCUUUAUCUCAAUCUUAGGUUAGAAAGAAUUCUUUAAAGAACACACUAAAGUCAAGCCAAGCUUCUUGUCAAUGGAGUGUCUUGACAUGUCAGGGAAUGAAGUCAAGUCCUCUCCCCCCAAAAAAUCCCUUGUGCCACUUAAUACCACUUUAGUUUGUUUUUCAUGUGAGAACUGUGAUUUACUUGGGGCACAGUUACAGCCUCUGGCACAUCACUGUUCUGCGCCAAGAAAAAUAUCCGCCAGUAGAGAUUUUUUGUUGAAUUUUGACAGGGUUGCUGCUUGGAAUUCAGCACAGCACUGUUAUCAAAGAUGAAUUGUUUUUGCCAUUUAAUAUUUGUUAGGAGAGUUGCAUUGGAUGUGUGCUUUUUUCACUCCAGGGAAGGGAAGGAGGUACAGUGUAACUUCAUUGUGGAUUGUUUGUACCUGUAGCCAUUGGUUUCUUUCUCUUCAAUUUUCUCUAUGGAAUUUAUUUUUUUCACCCAGAGACACUAAAAUAUCUGAUUUGUGCAAGCACAGUAGUGAGACUGUUCUUCUCUGAAGAAGGUCAAUUUAUUUUACUGCUCUCUGACUUUAUCAGGUCAAAUUAUCUUCAGAGCAGAAAUAGACCAAAGAUGCCUCUCCCUUCUCCCUCCUCCCCCAAAUUAAAAAUCAGGUAUGGCAAAACAGAAACAUUAGUUUCCUAGUUGUCUACAUGCUGCUUUUUGAGUUAUUCCAAAAAGCCACUAGCUUGGUAGGAGAUGACUUCUAUUUAUUUAACAAGCUCCUAGGUGGAGGUCACAGUCAUCUUUGGAAGGUGUAACUCUCAGAUUUCCAAGUUUGGACCAUGUGGGCUAAACUCGAAGAAAUUCAGAAAGUCUGAGAAGAGUCUUCAGCCUCUGAAGCUGUUCUAUGUGUAUGUGCCACCACGUGCUCAGUUUUCAAUGGAUGCAAUGGAUGUAAGUCAUGACUCAUUGACACAAACCAGUAAUUUGCAUGCCAAAUUGAAAAACAGUGCCUGAAGACAAAUGCAUAGAGAACUGACCUCAGCCUAGAGAUCUGAUAAAGUAUGCUUAAAAAAACCCACACGUAUUCUUAGAAUCUCCCUGGAUUUUUGUGCUGCUGUUUCUGAGAUAGGUGGCUCCAGAUGACAGUUGGGUUACUGCUUUGCAAGACGUGUACUUCCAGUCUUACUGAAAUCCCAUUUCCCUAGAUAGUCUGUUUGUUCUGUUAUUUACAUUGCUGAUAACUGGUGAAUAGGCUUAAAACAGAAAAGCUGGUUUUGUAUCGAAUUAGGGCUUAAAAAAAUGCAGAUGUGAAGGAGGAGAUGAUACAAAACAUACAAUUUCUGAGGCCUUGGUGCAAAACUUGGAAUGUUUUCUUUUAAAUAUCUUUCAUUUUCCAGGAUCCGAAUGAGGAGCAGUCUCCUCUAGAAUGACUACAUAUCUGGAAUUGUUUUGAAUUCUUUGACUGACUUUAACAGCUUCUUUGGAAUAAUGUUAAUGUAAGCUACUUUUAUGGUAAUCUUGGGUGAGUUAAAACCUGUAAUGCCAUCUGCCUUGAUGGUUGAAUGGUGAAAUACAUACUCUCUUAAUGUUAUUAAAAGUCCACAGACUCAAGUCUGGUGAGACCAGAAUGGUAUGGAUUCCAACAACAACAACAACAAAGUGCUUUUCUUCAUUCUGUGUAUACCUUGGUGAGAUGGAAAGAAACUGACAUCUUUGCUCUUCCUCUGUGUUGUGUGGGGAUGUGGAGUAGAUUUGUGUAGGAAUUGACUCCUCCAAGGACUACAUGUUUUCUUUUUCUUUUGCUCAGCUUGGAUCUUCAGCUGCUUUUGCCUGUGGACUGGUCACACAUACCUUAAGGAGCUGCCUUUGUUGGCCUUGAAUUUUUAAACCCCCUGGUUUUCCUUAAAAUGUUAAGGGUUAUAGCGUAGCAGUAGGGCCCAGGGUGUAGAAGGGAGCAAAACGUUUCAGAGCAGGAGAGCUGGAGACUGUAGGCAUAGGAAAGAGCUGGAGUAUAGAGUAUUAGAGAAGGGGUGGCACUGAUAGCAGAGAGACCCUACUGUAAAGGUAGAUAUGGCUAAUAACACGUAGAGUACAAGGAAGGAUAAUAAAUCUGACAUCCUCAGCUUGUCUUUUUUUAAUGACAGUUUAAGCAUGGAAAACAGUAUAUUUUUUUAUGCCAAAGGAGCAAAAAACUGGUCACUUCACAGGUGAGGCAGUAACUGUGAGCUGCCCUGUAGGAUCUGUUGGAAGAAAGCCGGAGAAAUGACAAAAGCAAGGAAGCGGCAUGGGAAUGAUGAGCAGGUCAGCACACUGGAGAAGCAAAAUGAGGACAGUAGACGGGAAGGUAGAAGAAACAGUGAAAGAGGAGGCUGCAGCUGAAAAGGGGGGAAUUGUAAAAGGACACAGAAUUGUGGAGGAAAGAUAGACAGAAACAUGAAAUAAUGAAAGACUGCAGGUAAGCAACUUGUUCUCUGUGCCAAUCCUUCCUCUCUUCCUCCUGGACACGGCAGAACAAAACAUACUAGCAUGCAGUGGAGCACAGCAAUGAAAAAAUACACGCAAAAGAUGAACAGAUUGACUUCCCAAGUACUGUUGGCGUUCUUUAGUAAUGAUUUUUUUUUUCCGGAUCAUUUCUUUCUAUAUCAUGUACAAAGAAAAGACUCACUUUGCUUACCUUAAUGCAUUGAUUCGAAUCAAAUUCUCACCAAGAGCAUGAGCAGGUGAUAAAUUCUCUUGCUUUCAACUGUUUUUUGGAGUGAAGUUUGUAAAAAAUACCUUAUGUUGCUGGACUGUUGUCUGGGAGCUUUUCUCCUGCACUGCCUGAAAUACUGAAGUAUGUCAGAGGCUGUGUUUCUGCACAGCUUUGUAUGAUUCAAAGCUAACAGGCAGACUGCUCUGCAGCAGUAAUAUGAAAGGGAAGGUGGUUAUGUGACAAGAAAAUAUUGACAGUGUUUGGUUGCCUUGUUUAUAUCACUGGUUAACAGAAAAUAAGCACAGCAAGCAGUCAGAAAUGUUCCAUUUGGAUGUUAAAUGUGCACCUGGUGCAGAAGUGCCUCUACACGGCAGGAACCUGCAGGGCUUUGCACAGCUGUAAAGUUAAUGGACACUGAAUGCCUGGCUCUCCUUAACUAUUUCCACCUGCUUUGCCUGGCUCAUGCUCCUUUGAGUUCAGCUAAGCCAUCCUGAUUUGUAUUUGAUUAACUAAGAGGGAAUUAAGGCCCGUGUGUUUUCUCCCUUAAUCGUUUCUACAGUAUUCUGAGUUAACAUGAGAUAUUUGUUUGGGCAGUGUUUAUAUGUGAGGUUGGGAUGUCUCUCUGCUCCUCCUUCUUGUGUAUGUAGCCCCUGCUCGAAGCUAAUGAGUAACACUGGUAUAGCAGCCACAAACUCAUCAUGCAGAUUACUGUUUGAACCUGAGAUCAGUGCCAUGCUCUACAUCUUACUUCUCAUAUUCGCUGCUGGCGUUGUUACAGUAAUUAAUGGCACCCAGUCCUGAAAAAAAAAUGACCUCUCCUGUUCAUUAGGAAGUGAUUACCGUGAGGGGCUGCUAUUAAAUGAGCCGGCAUAGCUGCACUUAAUCAGACCAGCUGGACUGAAAGCAAGCAGGAGGGUUAAGCAAACAAACCGAAACGCAAGUGGGGCAAGUGAUGGAUCUGCUCCCUCAUAACUGGGAUAUUGCCAUGGAGUAGGUG
ensembl:lncRNA